GGGGAAUUAGCUCAGCUGGGAGAGCGCAUGACUGGCAGUCAUGAGGUCAGGGGUUCGAUCCCCCUAUUCUCCACCA
rnacentral:tRNA from 16 species